AGACGUUGUGAUACCUGGGCUCAGAUUGAACGCUGGCGGCAUGCCUUACACAUGCAAGUCGAACGGCAGCACGGAGCUUGCUCUGGUGGCGAGUGGCGAACGGGUGAGUAAUAUAUCGGAACGUACCCUAGAGUGGGGGAUAACGUAGCGAAAGUUACGCUAAUACCGCAUACGAUCUAAGGAUGAAAGUGGGGGAUCGCAAGACCUCAUGCUCGUGGAGCGGCCGAUAUCUGAUUAGCUAGUUGGUAGGGUAAAAGCCUACCAAGGCAUCGAUCAGUAGCUGGUCUGAGAGGACGACCAGCCACACUGGAACUGAGACACGGUCCAGACUCCUACGGGAGGCAGCAGUGGGGAAUUUUGGACAAUGGGCGAAAGCCUGAUCCAGCAAUGCCGCGUGAGUGAAGAAGGCCUUCGGGUUGUAAAGCUCUUUUGUCAGGGAAGAAACGGUGAGAGCUAAUAUCUCUUGCUAAUGACGGUACCUGAAGAAUAAGCACCGGCUAACUACGUGCCAGCAGCCGCGGUAAUACGUAGGGUGCAAGCGUUAAUCGGAAUUACUGGGCGUAAAGCGUGCGCAGGCGGUUUUGUAAGUCUGAUGUGAAAUCCCCGGGCUCAACCUGGGAAUUGCAUUGGAGACUGCAAGGCUAGAAUCUGGCAGAGGGGGGUAGAAUUCCACGUGUAGCAGUGAAAUGCGUAGAUAUGUGGAGGAACACCGAUGGCGAAGGCAGCCCCCUGGGUCAAGAUUGACGCUCAUGCACGAAAGCGUGGG
rnacentral:rRNA from 1 species